GACGAACGCUGGCGGCGUGCUUAACACAUGCAAGUCGAGCGGUAAGGCCCUUUCGGGGGUACACGAGCGGCGAACGGGUGAGUAACACGUGGGUGACCUGCCUUUAGCUCUGGGAUAAGCCUGGGAAACCGGGUCUAAUACCGGAUAUGACUCCGCGGCGCAUGUUGUGGGGUGGAAAGCCUUGUGCGGCUGGAGAUGGGCCCGCGGCCUAUCAGCUUGUUGGGUGGGGUGAUGGCCUACCAAGGCGACGACGGGUAGCCGGCCUGAGAGGGCGACCGGCCACACUGGGACUGAGACACGGCCCAGACUCCUACGGGAGGCAGCAGUGGGGAAUCUUGCGCAAUGGGCGAAAGCCUGACGCAGCGACGCCGCGUGAGGGAUGACGGCC
rnacentral:rRNA from 1 species